rnacentral:tRNA from 1 species
GGAGAGGUGGCAGAGCGGCUGAAUGCACCGGUCUUGAAAACCGGCAAGGGUUAAUAGCCCUUCGUGGGUUCAAAUCCCACCCUCUCCG